UGUCAAAUCAUAAGUUUGUUAGAUAACUAUUUAUUAUUCAAUAAAGAGUUUUUCAGCCGGCGGCAGGUUCAACUUGUUAGAUAAUUAUAGUUUGACUUUAGAAUUACCAUCCUCUGGGACCAAUCGGACGAAUAUGACGAAUUGGGAUAGUUGUUCUGUCAUACUUUUGGUUAAGAACAUACACAGAACAAAAUGAUUAGAACAUGGAUUUUCAAACAUUAAGUUUAAAAGCUGCUUUAAUACCUGCUGUUUCAAUUCAGAUCGUAGUGAGAGUACUGAUGCAUUUGUUUUGAAUGGCUAAAGUAACGUGCUUAUGAAGAUCGGACUUAUUAAGGUUCAGAUCGAAAGUCGAGAUGAGAGGUGUUGGUCUUCUAAUCUAAUCUAACCCUAGCGCAGCCAGUCUUUCGAGGGCAUCCUGGAAAAUGCCUUAGGUUGAUUAACGCCUAGCAUCCUCUUGUCAUUAUUAACAAUUGCAGUGCCCCAAUGCAAUAAAUUGCUUUGAAACAACACAAACGUUAAAGCGGCCAGGCCAACUGCGUAAAGUUAACCGCAAGGAUGAUUCGUUGAAUUGGAUUGAGUUUGAACACGAAUGUUUAAACAGCAAUACAGUUCUGAAUCUACAGAGGAGGAAGAAACGUGAGAUCCCCCGCUCACGUUCCUGUUUGUUUAGGCAAUUUAUCGUAUUUGAAUAUGGGAGCUCAGGAAAACUCAAUUUUUAAACAAUAAAAUGAUUAUUCAUGAUAAAAGUAUUGAUUGAUUAGCUGCACAAAAUGUGUCUAGAAUAUUAUUGAAAUAAAAACUGUUUGAAAAAUUUGCUAUCGAGAUAAGCAAACCAUUCGAUUCAGCAGGAAUUUCGGGCACCAAAAAUAUAUAGUUUUCAUAUGUUAAGUGUUUUAUUUUAAAAGAAAAUUAACAAAAAGUAUGAAAAUCGAGUCAUUUAGUAUGGGAGCUGUCAAAUCUCUCACCAUCAAAAAACAGCGUUGAGCUUCCGCUGGAUUUGUCUUUUGACAACUCUCUCAUUUUAUCUCUACACGCUAACUGGAUCUAGCACAAAUUUCUUAAAUUUGAACUUUCUCACGUACGGGCCUCUACUGUUACCUACUCUCAAUCCCACUCUAACGUUUGGGGGGGCAGCGGGCGAUUGUCGGGCUUCGCCAGGGCCAGUUAAGACGCUUAACCAAGACACGCACUUUAAAAAUUUCCAUUUUUAUGUUGCACACUCACACAAACAUAAUUUGCGCUAGCCAGCACGCACAUUACCUCAGCUUUCGUAACGCGCAAACUGUCAAAAAAAAUUUGCUUUUGUCAAACGUGUUCAAUUUUGUUGGUUGGUUGGUGCUUUUUCGUUGCCGAUUAAUUCGAAUAAUACGUGAAAUUGAAGGUUUGUUGAUUUCUCCAGCCUCUGGAACAACCACCGGGGACGACUUAGCAGCUUCCUCUUCCGCCACCUUUUCCAAGCGGCGCAUCGCUGGCAUCCCCGACGGCCAAAAUGGUCACCGUGGCCCUGACCAAACUACCGGCUACAAUGGCGCCCAAUCCGGAUCGCGCUUCAGCCAGUGGUUCCGCCG